GAAACGAUCAAUCACCUACUCCUUGGAUGUGUUCUCGCUCGACAAAUAUGGUCCGUCAUUAUGGGUAACUGGGGAAAGCCUCACUGGACUCUAGAGCCGGAGGCUGAGCUAGUUCGAUGGUGGACUUCCCUUAGCAUCGAGGAGACUAAGAGGAAGGAAACAUGGAAAGUGAUCACUUUAGUGGCUUGGACAUUGUGGAAGCAUAGGAACGACAUCGUGUUCAAUGGAGCUUCCCCAUUUGUCAGUACGGUCCUCCGGCAGAUCAAGGCGGAGGGACAGAACUGGAGGGCUGCAACCCUGUUGAGGGUGGCAGGAUCACUCCCAGCUAGGUUAGAUCUGUUGAGUGGUAGCGAGUAG
rnacentral:rRNA from 1 species